AUACAUAUAAAAGAAACCUGAUUAUAACCUAUACGGGGCUGUUCCAAUCAUCAUAGAAGCAUCUGGAGAGCGUGAGACCAUCCUCUCGAGUGCCUCCAAGAAAUGAUUUAACCACACACAGGAGCUGCCUGAGAAAGCACUGAGAAGGAGGACAAACAGCAAUGGCGUUUUAUCUCCCCUGGUGGGACUAGAAACAGCUUGACAGCAUGGCCCUGUCUGCUGUUUCUUUGUGCCCCUCACGGAGUAUAUAUAACUAAACAGAUGAGGAAGGAAGAGGGCUCCAGGGAACCUGUGGUGAGGUCGCCCGCAAUCUGUCCUCACCGGUCGGUCGGGGCAGAGAAAGUUGUCGCCUCUGCUCCGCUGUGGGGAGGCUGUGGGAUUUUGCAGCUAUUUGAAUGAUUAAAUGGAAUGUCCUGGAUGGAUGAGAAGGAAUGACUACAAGCACAUGACCUGGCUUGGGAUCUUUACAGAAAUGCUGAUGUGAAGAGGGAGGCAAGAGUGAUUCGCUUUCUAGACUGCACAUUCUCCUUGGGCCACUGGUCUAGCAUCCUGUUUAAGGUCGCCAGUCAACUGACCACCCCCCUCACCUUCUCCCAGCGCCCCGCACCCCUCCUGCACUCUCCCUCAGGGAAAGUCUCCGGCUACGGCAUUUACAUUUACGUUGGGAACCACACACUCUGCAUUUUAAUGAUAGGAAAGCACUUAUGUCUUUUUCUCUAAUGAUUUAAUAGUCUGUCUUCCCAACCAGAUUGUAAAACUCUCCAGGGCAUGGAAUACCAUCCACUGGCUCAAUUGCUGAGCUUCUGGCUGCCCUGCACUCAGGACGACAGAAGAGCUAGAAUUGACUGUGUGCUCCAGGGAGGGGACCACGCUUCACAAGUCAGAUGCAGCAUCUCCAGGAGCUCAGAAGGCAGCCAGCUUGCACUUUCUGCCUGAUUCCUACAAUGACCCAGUGAGGCAGGAGGAGUGAGCAGCAGUUUUUGACGCUAAGGAAACUGAGGCGUAGCAAGGUUAACACACUUGCCCCAAAGCACUAAGAAAGGGGCAGAGCCAGAAUUCAAACUUCAGUCUACCUUAAAAACCCGUACUCUUAACUACCAUAUUAAUAAGCAAAACUGAAGUAGAGCUGUAAGAUUACCGAGUACAGCAGUCGGCCCACAUCUUGGGGGAGGCGUUCCAGGACCCCCAGUGGAUGCUGGAAACCUCGGAUAGCGCCGAAACCUAUAAAUACUGUUUUUUCCUGCACAUACACACCUAUGAUAAAGUUUAACGUAUAAAUUAGGCACUGUAAGAGAUUAACAACAAUAACUAAUAAUAAAGUUGACUUUGGGGCCAUUAUGAAGUGAAAUAACAGUUACUUGAACGCAAGUGCUGUGGCACAGUGACUGUCUAUCCGACAAUCGAGAAGACGACUAAGCGACCGUUGGACAGGAAGCAGAUAGAGCAGGGAUCUGCUGGACGAAGGGAUGAUCCACGUCCCAGUUGCAGGCCGUCUGUACCUACCAAGAGGGUCCCGGAGUUGGUAUGAACUGUAAGGCCUGCAGUCCAGGAAAUGAGGAUCUCGAAGGUGCUGGAGUCUCAGUCGACAGCUCUCAGACGAGGAAACUCAGCACAGAGCUUACAAACAACAGAGCCAGGGGUGAGGGAUCUCUACCCACCCUACUGGAUGGAUGGCCUCAAGGGUGGCCAUGUGUCCCGAGUAAGCCUGCAGUCUCUGAAGUCAGCCUGAAGUCACUGAAUCGCCCUCUGCCUCAGUUUCCUCAUCUGUAGUGACUGCAGUCAUGUCUCUCUCACAGAGGGGAAGAGGAAAGAAAAGAUAGGAACUACAAUCUGGCUGGGCGGGAGAUUGAAGCUGUAUUUACACAGCAGUGUUCUUAAGACUGAGGAAUCACUAAAUGGGCUCAGUUGAUGGAGAUUGAGUGAUACUCUCAUUCAACUUGGGGCCUCAACCAUUCUUCUUCCUCCCUUCCGAACUGACCGAUGAAUUUGAGGUAAUGGCCAAAACUGGGGGGUCUGUGUACAGAGUAUAUAUAUGUGGGUGACAAUCUUUCCACCAUCCCAUAAACUCCCUUCUCCGAAAUAUCCCGGGUUUUAGAAUCUCAGAGGUUAAAUUUAAGUAACAAUGGCUUCCUUUUCUCAGAACUAGCUGGUUAAAAGGUGUUUGACUCAUAUUUGUCCAGACAAUUUGCUUUUCUCUGUCUUUUUUCCUCAUUGACAUCGCUUCCUCCUCUUCUCCGUUUCUCACAGCCGGCUAUGGUAUUUGGCGACAUGAGCACAGCGGUUUACAGGGAAGUUACACAGAGUCUCUUGUUUGGCUGCGGUGGUGGCCAUACUUGGAGAGAAGUCUCGGGGCUCCCCUAUGCCACCACCUGCCCCAACUCACACACUCUCAGUUCUCCAUAGGAAAUUCACCACUUUAUGGCCUCGCAUAAAAGUGCCAUUCUGAAUAAACACAAAAG
ensembl:lncRNA